UCGUCCUACGGGAGGCAGCAGUGAGGAAUAUUGCACAAUGGGGGAAACCCUGAUGCAGCGACGCCGCGUGAGCGAUGAAGUAUUUCGGUAUGUAAAGCUCUAUCAGCAGGGAAGAAGAUGACGGUACCUGACUAAGAAGCCCCGGCUAACUACGUGCCAGCAGCCGCGGCAAUACGUAGGGGGCAAGCGUUAUCCGGAUUUACUGGGUGUAAAGAGAGCGUAGACGGCGA
rnacentral:rRNA from 1 species